UCUUAGGUAGUAUAGUGGUUAGUAUUCGCGCUUGUCAAGGGUUCAACUUUAGAUCGCGCGAGACUUGCGCGAGACCGGGGUUUAAUUCCCCACCUGAGAG